rnacentral:rRNA from 1 species
CCUACGGGUGGCAGCAGUGAGGAAUAUUGGUCAAUGGCCGGAAGGCUGAACCAGCCAAGCCGCGUGAAGGACGCAGGUGCCAAGCAUUGUAAACUUCUUUUGUCAAGGGACAAAAUCAGGCUCGAGAGCCUGACCGAGGGUACUUGCAGAAAAAGCAUCGGCUAACUCCGUGCCAGCAGCCGCGGUAAUACGGGUGAUGCGAGCGUUAUCCGGAUUUAUUGGUUUUAAAGGGUGCUGAGGCGGGCUGUUAAGUAAGCGGUAAAAGCCCGGGGCUCAACCCAGGCGAGCCGUUGAAGCGGGCUGUCUUGAGAUGUCGAGAGGUAUGCGGAAUGCGCAGUGUAGCGGUGAAAUGCUUAGAUAUUGCGCAGAACUCCGAUUGCGAAGGCAGCAUACCGGCGGCGAUCUGACGCUGAGGCACGAAAGCGUGGGUAUCGAACAGGAUUAGAUACCCUUGUAGUC